UGCUCCCUGAUGUUAGCGGCGGACGGGUGAGUAACACGUGGGUAACCUGCCUGUAAGACUGGGAUAACUCCGGGAAACCGGGGCUAAUACCGGAUGCUUGAUUGAACCGCAUGGUUCAAUUAUAAAAGGUGGCUUUUAGCUACCACUUACAGAUGGACCCGCGGCGCAUUAGCUAGUUGGUGAGGUAACGGCUCACCAAGGCAACGAUGCGUAGCCGACCUGAGAGGGUGAUCGGCCACACUGGGACUGAGACACGGCCCAGACUCCUACGGGAGGCAGCAGUAGGGAAUCUUCCGCAAUGGACGAAAGUCUGACGGAGCAACGCCGCGUGAGUGAUGAAGGUUUUCGGAUCGUAAAACUCUGUUGUUAGGGAAGAACAAGUACCGUUCGAAUAGGGCGGUACCUUGACGGUACCUAACCAGAAAGCCACGGCUAACUACGUGCCAGCAGCCGCGGUAAUACGUAGGUGGCAAGCGUUGUCCGGAAUUAUUG
rnacentral:rRNA from 1 species